GCCAGACACUUGCCUGGAUCCGGGUUUGCCUCCGGACAGCAUCCUCCACUAGGUCUGGGCCCCAAGCUUUUUGUGUUGCCUUGAGGACAUGACUGAGCCCUGACAGGUUAAUAGGCACCUCAGCCAUUUGUCCUUUGGAACCUCACACUGAUGACAUGCUUGCGAAGAACACCUCAGACCUUUUGGGAAGGCUCUGGCUAGACCGAGGCCAGUGGGUGGACAGGCUGGGAAAGGAUGGGGGCCCAUGAGGUAAGAACAAGGGGUUUCCUACCCUCUGUGCAGCUCUCCUGGGAACAGGGAGAGAUGUUAGGACGCCCAGGGGUGAGGGGAACAGCAGUAAGCUGUUCAGAUAGGAGAGACUAAAUAACUGCCCCAAACCUUGAUUUAUGAACCUGGGACAAACCAGGGGGAGCAUGUUGGAAGACUAAGGGGCCCUGAGAUGGCUACUGUCCUUGAAUGUCCUUCAAAACACACGGACCGGGAAAGGCAGGGCUGCAACUGGUACGAUCCUUGUGGGAGUAAUGUACAGUAGCAGUAGUACAUGGCUGGCCCCUGCGAGCCCUAUCUCAGGCCAGCCUACCACCCGCCUCUACCCAGGAAGUCUUCCUCCGUUGAGGAAUGAAUUCUGAUGAAUUCUGAAUCAAUUGUGAUUAAUCAAUCCACCCGGUGCUAGUUUUUCUCUCACACAGGAAGCCACGAGGAAGAGAGACACAGAAGUUUAGCUCCAAACCGCCACCUUCCUAGCCUUUGGAGAAUCGUCUGUCCCCUUUCUCGUCUGCCCUUAAGAACACAUCUUACUUUCUGAUGAGGUGUGAGGGAACACAAACAGAAGGAGUCACACACAUGCCAUUUCCACUCUCUCCACACUCCGUCUCCCCUUUAAUGGGCCCUGCUUCCGGCAGGCACUCUCAGGGUCAGUUCCAAGGUCCCAGCCGCCCUGUGUCCUAUCUGUUGUCUGGAAGCAGCUUGGGGACAGACAGGGUGGGCCAAUUGGCAGACAGCAAGAAAAUGGGCAAAGUGCCCAGUCCUCCAAGGGCCCCACCUAUCAGCCCUGAGUAGUGGCUGGGUCCUUUUGCAGCCCGUGUCUAAAGCACGCGUCCUAUUCAGCUGUCCCAGGACACCACUGCUGGACCAGGCGGCCCUUGAAGCAGGAGGCUUUGGGAAAAUGAGUCGCGUUUUCCUGCUUUAACUUUCCAACUUGCUGAAUAUUUAGAGGUUUUCUCUCUCUCCUCUCUCCUCCCCCCCCCCCUCUCUCUUUCUAUAACAAAAGUAAGUGGCGUUCAACUAACCAACACUUUCCUAGAGCCAGGCAUUCUUGCAGCUGGCCGGCCCUCUCAGGGAUGAAGUGAGGGUCAAGGGGCAGCCACUGCUGGCGGCACAUCGAGUGCCCAGCAUAGCAGACUGAUCAGUCUAGGGCCAUCAGCCCCAGAGUCCCACGCCGAAAAUCCCGCAGCUCUAUUCCACCCUGCUGAGUCCGAAGCGAGCACUGAGCACCCAAAGGGCACCGUACCCACCAUGAAGCCCCUGGAAGUGGUCCUAAAGCAGGCUCGGUCUCCUAGUCGGGGGCGGGGGUGGGGUGGGGGGGUGGGCUACAGCAGUGUCGCCCAUGCCCGGCAGGGGGCGCCAGCAGUCUCGGGCGGUUGCUGAGCCGGGCCCCUGA
rnacentral:lncRNA from 1 species